AACGAACGCUGGCGGCAGGCCUAACACAUGCAAGUCGAACGCUCCGCAAGGAGAGUGGCAGACGGGUGAGUAACACGUGGGAAUCUUCCUGUUGGUUCGGAAUAGCUCAGGGAAACUUGGGGUAAUACCGGAUAAGCCCGAGAGGGGAAAGGAUUUAUCGCCGACAGAUGAGCCCGCGUCUGAUUAGCUAGUUGGUGAGGUAAUGGCUCACCAAGGCGACGAUCAGUAGCNGGUCUGAGAGGAUGACCAGCCACACUGGGACUGAGACACGGCCCAGACUCCUACGGGAGGCAGCA
rnacentral:rRNA from 1 species